rnacentral:rRNA from 1 species
CACUUGACGCUCAUGCACGAAAAGCGUGGGGAGCAAACAGUGUAUUAGAUACCCUGGUAGUCCACGCCCUAAACGAUGUCAACUAGCUGUUGGGGCCUUCGGGCCUUAGUAGCGCAGCUAACGCGUGAAGUUGACCGCCUGGGGAGUACGGUCGCAAGAUUAAAACUCAAAGGAAUUGACGGGGACCCGCACAAGCGGUGGAUGAUGUGGAUUAAUUCGAUGCAACGCGAAAAACCUUACCUACCCUUGACAUGUCUGGAAUCCCGAAGAGAUUUGGGAGUGCUCGCAAGAGAACUGGAACACAGGUGCUGCAUGGCUGUCGUCAGCUCGUGUCGUGAGAUGUUGGGUUAAGUCCCGCAACGAGCGCAACCCUUGUCAUUAGUUGCUACGAAAGGGCACUCUAAUGAGACUGCCGGUGACAAGCCGGAGGAAGGUGGGGAUGACGUCAAGUCCUCAUGGCCCUUAUGGGUUAGGGCUUCACACGUCAUACAAUGGUCGGGACAGAGGGUUGCCAACCCGCGAGGGGGAGCUAAUCUCACAAACCCGAUCGUAGUCCGGAUUGCA